rnacentral:lncRNA from 1 species
UGAACUUCGAGAAUGCCGUGUGACAAAUCCAUAUGGUCCUGGAGCAGCGCGCGUCGAUGUGGACGGUGGUAGGGGCCAGGAGCCUAACUAAGCUUCUGCUGUACUGUGAGCUGUCACAGAGGCCACUACGAUUAUGUUUUGGAAAGUCGGGCACCCAAUGUUACAGAGCUUUUGUCGCUGACCUGCACUUGGCCGCAACACAGAAUGUUGGGCCAGCAAGGUCACAACCUUUCUUACCAGCUUGGUUGUAAGCCCCCCGGCUGAUCCUGCCCUCAACCUGCCCCAGGGAAGCAUCCUGAGGGAUUUUGUGAAGAGGAAUGUUCAAGCAGCUAUGUCUACAGUAAUUUACGGAAAAGCUUUUCACGGAGCUCACAUCGAUACAACUCGGGCAUCAGGUUCUCAUAUCGCGGCUCAGAUGUUAAAAACACACACGCACACGCACACACACACACACACACACGCAGUUGCCCACAGCGCCGCGCACUUCUAUGGGCUCUGGAUACCAUCUACGCAUCUUGUUGGAGAAUCCUCCACGGUUUAUUUACUGGAAAAGGCACUAGUAUACGUCGCUCGACUACGGAGCUCGCAUUCGUGCACACAUGUUGGCCCGCUCCCGUGUCGCGGUUAAUCAACACACACGCACACACACACACAGGCACACGCACACACACACAUCUGGCUCUUUGACUCCUGUGUCCCUCCGUUCCCUUCCCUCUCAUCCUCCGCAACAGAUCACUGACACCACCAAAGCGCUC